GCCCCCGUCGUCUAGUGGUUAGGACACCAGGUUUUCAACCUGAUAACAGGGGUUCGAUUCCCCUCGGGGGUACCA
rnacentral:tRNA from 1 species